UGAUAUGUAGAGUACUAUUUAAAUGACUGUGACUGAUUCUUAACCUGGUCUUUACGUCCUCCUCUCUUCUGUUGCUCCCUCUGUAUUUGACUUUAUCUAUUUCCCUCUGAAUUGAGUAUAAAUGUCUUCCCUUUGUCUGAUUGUUCUAAUAUUGUUGCCAUUCCUGUUUAAUUUUACUCCAUGUGACUCGUUUCCCCUCUGACUUAGAUCAUUUGAUGUUAAUAUCAAUCCUCUCUUUCUUUACAGCUUCCUUUGCCAACCUGUCCACCUUUUCAUUUCCUGCUAUACCUGAAUGUGCUGGAACCCACAUGAACAUCACAUCUGUCCCCUGUUUAACCACCUGGGAAUGUUAACUCCAAGUCUACUUCAGCUGUCUCAAGCAUCCACAUUGGAACUGGUGGCCAUAAAACAGUUGGACUGAUAUCCUUGUCAUUCAUCUCUCACCACUCUAUCCCCUAUCCAUCCAAAACUGGACUUAGUUGUUCUCUCUUUUUCCCAGCAAUCCUUUAACACUGAUUUUGUUGGGUGACUAUCUCCAUGUCCUCUCAAGUUCAGCCAAUAAUUUGCUAAUAGCUGUUUCCUCCUUAAACAUAGUGGCAGCUCUCCUACUUCUACCUGAAGUGCACAUAUUGGAGAUGAUUUCACUGCCCCAAUACAUAUCCUAAGAGCCUGUGCCUGAAUCAUUUCUAACUGUGUUGUCUUUGCUGCAGAUCCAUAUACCACACUCCCAUACUCAAUCCUAGUUCUAAUUAACACCACAUAUAUAUAUUUUAAGGCAGCAACAUCAGCUCCCCAAUCCAUUCCUACAAGACAUCUCAUUACAUUUAUUACUUUUUUGCAUUUAUCAACAAUAUUCCUUAUGUGUUCCUUCCAUGUCAACCGGACAUCAAAAAAUACCCCUAAAAAACAAAAUGAGUCAACUCGUUCUAGCUUAUUUCCAUACAAUGUCAACCCAAUAUUCUCCCCAAUUUUCUUUCGAGAAAAGAACAUGAUCUUUGUUUUUUCCACAUAAAAUGUAAAUCCCCACUUUAAUCCCCACUUCUCAACUAAACUGAUCCCUUUCUGAAUUUUAUUUACAAUAAAUUGUAUAUUCUUUCCUUUUUUCCACAAUGCUCCAUCAUCCGCAAACAAUGAUCUUCCUAUAUCUGUUGGGAUAUUAUCAAAUAUAUCAUUUAUCAUAAAAAUAAAAUCGGACUUAUCACAC